UACGUAGGGUGCAAGCGUUGUCCGGAAUUAUUGGGCGUAAAGAGCUCGUAGGCGGUUUGUCGCGUCUGCUGUGAAAACGCGAGGCUCAACCUCGCGCCUGCAGUGGGUACGGGCAGACUAGAGUGCGGUAGGGGAGAUUGGAAUUCCUGGUGUAGCGGUGGAAUGCGCAGAUAUCAGGAGGAACACCGAUGGAGCGGAAGGCAGAUCUCUGGGACCGGUAACUGGACGCUGAGGAGCGAAAGCGUGGGGAGCGA
rnacentral:rRNA from 1 species